AAACACACAAGCCAGUGAACCCUUCCGGCUGUUAUGAUUUCGAACAUUGUAGUUCCUAAUUUGCAAUGAUUAGAAUCUCGAGAUUUUCCUGUUUACUAUAAUCCUCCGAUGUUGAUGAUGAGGAAAUUGUCUGGAGGAACCUUUUGCCCUCUAAGGCUACUUUCACUCAGUUAUCCUUUUGAACUCAAACUUCAGAUCACCAGCCUAACUUACCAACAAGGGCACAUUCCACACGAAGUUUGUUGGUGUUCAUGCAGCGUGGCAACGUUCGAUGAUUUCUUAGUAUGAAUUCUCACAAAUAUUAUCGAACUCCUCAGCUUGAUGGGAUUUGUUUCUAAUUUGCGUCCUUAUUACUGGAUUAAAAAGGUAGAGAAGGUUUGAUUCCUUGAGUACGUGUAAGUCUGUAUCCGUUGGAAAGAGUUGAAAUAAAACUUAAGAAGAGACGACAAGUCGAAGAGGAGUAAAGAGAAGAACCAAAAAAGUACAUGCUGAACAAACCACUGUUUUGGAGGGAGAAAGGUAAACGCUUCAGGACAAUUCCUUCGAUAAAAAAACAAUGGCC
rnacentral:lncRNA from 1 species